ACACAUGCAAGUCGAACGGUAACAGGAAGCAGCUUGCUGCUUCGCUGACGAGUGGCGGACGGGUGAGUAAUGUCUGGGAAACUGCCUGAUGGAGGGGGAUAACUACUGGAAACGGUAGCUAAUACCGCAUAACGUCGCAAGACCAAAGAGGGGGACCUUCGGGCCUCUUGCCAUCGGAUGUGCCCAGAUGGGAUUAGCUAGUAGGUGGGGUAACGGCUCACCUAGGCGACGAUCCCUAGCUGGUCUGAGAGGAUGACCAGCCACACUGGAACUGAGACACGGUCCAGACUCCUACGGGAGGCAGCAGUGGGGAAUAUUGCACAAUGGGCGCAAGCCUGAUGCAGCCAUGCCGCGUGUAUGAAGAAGGCCUUCGGGUUGUAAAGUACUUUCAGCGGGGAGGAAGGCGAUAAGGUUAAUAACCUUGUCGAUUGACGUUACCCGCAGAAGAAGCACCGGCUAACUCCGUGCCAGCAGCCGCGGUAAUACGGAGGGUGCAAGCGUUAAUCGGAAUUACUGGGCGUAAAGCGCACGCAGGCGGUCUGUCAAGUCGGAUGUGAAAUCCCCGGGCUCAACCUGGGAACUGCAUUCGAAACUGGCAGGCUAGAGUCUUGUAGAGGGGGGUAGAAUUCCAGGUGUAGCGGUGAAAUGCGUAGAGAUGCUGGAGGAAUACCGGUGGCGAAGGCGGCCCCCUGGACAAAGACUGACGCUCAGGUG
rnacentral:rRNA from 1 species